rnacentral:rRNA from 1 species
CAGGGCGACAAAGUUCAGAUCGUCGGCUUUGGCUGCUUUGAAGUUCGCGAACGUCCCGCACGCAAGGGCCGCAACCCCAUGACCGGUGAGGCUAUCGAUAUCGAUGCCACCCGUUCCGUUGCUUUCAAGCCCGGCAAGUCCAUUAAAGACGCUAUGGACAACAAAUAAUUUUCGCUUAUAAACCAAGCUUUCCGGCCGCACUGUAUGUCAUAUAGCGCGGCUUUUAAUUUAUUUAUUCGAAAAGGCUUGAUUUCUGCCGUUUUCGUGGUAAAAUACUGUUGAGGCAGCUGAGCUGCCUCGGAAUCAAAUAUUUUUCGGAGGUAAUACUCAUGGCUUAUCGUAUCACUGAAGCUUGCAUCGCAUGCGGCGUGCAGUACACCCGAAACCGGGUGACCUAUCCAUGGACAGGAUGAAGCGACGGUAAGACGUCGUGGAGGUCCGAACCACACGUACGUGAAAAGUGCGGGGAUGAGCUGUGGAUAGCGGAGAAAUUCCAAUCGAACUCGGAGAUAGCUGGUUCUCCCCGAAAUAGCUUUAGGGCUAGCCUCGAUUUAGAUUAUUGGGGGUAGAGCACUGAAUGGGCUAGGGGGCCACAAAGCUUACUGAACCCUAUCAAACUGCGAAUACCAAUUAAUUGAUGAUCGGGAGUCAGACAGUGAGAGAUAAGUUCCAUUGUCGAAAGGGAAACAGCCCAGAUCCACGACUAAGGUCCCAAAAUACACGUUAAGUGGAAAAGGAUGUGCAGUUGCACAGACAACCAGGAUGUUGGCUUAGAAGCAGCCACUCAUUUAAAGAGUGCGUAAUAGCUCACUGGUCGAGUGAUUGUGCGCCGAAAAUGUAACGGGGCUAAACUUGACACCGAAGUCUAGGCAGAAGGAAACUUCUGGGUAGGGGAGCAACGUGUACGGGCAGAAGCAGAAGCGGAAGCGACUGUGGACUGUACAGGAGAGAGAAUGCCGGCAUGAGUAGCGAGAGCAAAGUGAGAAUCUUUGCCGUCGAAAGCCUAAGGUUUCCUGAGGAAGGCUCGUCCUCUCAGGGUAAGUCGGGACCUAAGCCGAGGACAAUAGUCGUAGGCGAUGGACAAUCGGUUAAUAUUCCGAUACCGCCGAGCAACCGGAUGCAGUGACACAGAAGGAUAGGCAGAGCGUGGCGAUGGUAGACCACGUCCAAGCAGUGAGGCUGUUGUGUAGUGAAGUACGCACAACGGAAGGCUGGGCUGUGAUGGGGAACGAUUACGAUCGGUAAGCUGCUGAAUUCACGCUGGCGAGAAAAGCUGCUACGAAGCGAAGGCGCCCGUACCGCAAACCGACACAGGUAGGCGAGGAGAGAAUCCUAAGACGAGCGGGAGAACCCUUGUUAAGGAACUCGGCAAAAUGACUCCGUAACUUAGGGAGAAGGAGUGCCUCGAGAGAGGCCGCAGAGAAUAGGCCCAAGCGACUGUUUACCAAAAACACAGGUCUGUGCGAAGUAGAGAUACGACGUAUACGGGCUGACGCCUGCCCAGUGCCGGAAGGUUAAGGGGAAGUGUUAGGGCAACCGAAGCACGGAACUUAAGCCCCGGUGAACGGCGGCCGUAACUAUAACGGUCCUAAGGUAGCGAAAUUCCUUGUCGGGUAAG